GACGAACGCUGGCGGCGUGCUUAACACAUGCAAGUCGAACGGAAAGGCCCUGCUUUUGUGGGGUGCUCGAGUGGCGAACGGGUGAGUAACACGUGAGUAACCUGCCCUUGACUUUGGGAUAACUUCAGGAAACUGGGGCUAAUACCGGAUAGGAGCUCCUGCUGCAUGGUGGGGGUUGGAAAGUUUCGGCGGUUGGGGAUGGACUCGCGGCUUAUCAGCUUGUUGGUGGGGUAGUGGCUUACCAAGGCUUUGACGGGUAGCCGGCCUGAGAGGGUGACCGGCCACAUUGGGACUGAGAUACGGCCCAGACUCCUACGGGAGGCAGCAGUGGGGAAUAUUGCACAAUGGGCGGAAGCCUGAUGCAGCAACGCCGCGUGCGGGAUGACGGCCUUCGGGUUGUAAACCGCUUUCGCCUGUGACGAAGCGUGAGUGACGGUAAUGGGUAAAGAAGCACCGGCUAACUACGUGCCAGCAGCCGCGGUGAUACGUAGGGUGCGAGCGUUGUCCGGAUUUAUUGGGCGUAAAGGGCUCGUAGGUGGUUGAUCGCGUCGGAAGUGUAAUCUUGGGGCUUAACCCUGAGCGUGCUUUCGAUACGGGUUGACUUGAGGAAGGUAGGGGAGAAUGGAAUUCCUGGUGGAGCGGUGGAAUGCGCAGAUAUCAGGAGGAACACCAGUGGCGAAGGCGGUUCUCUGGGCCUUUCCUGACGCUGAGGAGCGAAAGCGUGGGGAGCGAACAGGCUUAGAUACCCUGGUAGUCCACGCUGUAAACGGUGGGUACUAGGUGUGGGGUCCAUUCCACGGGUUCCGUGCCGUAGCUAACGCUUUAAGUACCCCGCCUGGGGAGUACGGCCGCAAGGCUAAAACUCAAAGGAAUUGACGGGGCCCCGCACAAGCGGCGGAGCAUGCGGAUUAAUUCGAUGCAACGCGUAGAACCUUACCUGGGUUUGACAUGGAUCGGGAGCGCUCAGAGAUGGGUGUGCCUCUUUUGGGGUCGGUUCACAGGUGGUGCAUGGCUGUCGUCAGCUCGUGUCGUGAGAUGUUGGGUUAAGUCCCGCAACGAGCGCAACCCUUGUUCACUGUUGCCAGCAUGUUAUGGUGGGGACUCAGUGGAGACCGCCGGGGUCAACUCGGAGGAAGGUGGGGAUGACGUCAAGUCAUCAUGCCCCUUAUGUCCAGGGCUUCACGCAUGCUACAAUGGCUGGUACAGAGAGUGGCGAGCCUGUGAGGGUGAGCGAAUCUCGGAAAGCCGGUCUCAGUUCGGAUUGGGGUCUGCAACUCGACCUCAUGAAGUCGGAGUCGCUAGUAAUCGCAGAUCAGCAACGCUGCGGUGAAUACGUUCCCGGG
rnacentral:rRNA from 1 species